GAGUGGCGGACGGGUGAGUAACGCGUGGGUAACCUGCCCUGUACAGGGGGAUAACAGUCAGAAAUGACUGCUAAUACCGCAUAAGACCACAGCACCGCAUGGUGCAGGGGUAAAAACUCCGGUGGUACAGGAUGGACCCGCGUCCGAUUAGCUAGUUGGUGAGGUAAUGGCCCACCAAGGCGACGAUCGGUAGCCGGACUGAGAGGUUGAACGGCCACAUUGGGACUGAGACACGGCCCAGACUCCUACGGGAGGCAGCAGUGGGGAAUAUUGCACAAUGGGGGAAACCCUGAUGCAGCGACGCCGCGUGGAGGAAGAAGGUCUUCGGAUUGUAAACUCCUGUUGUUGAGGAAGAUAAUGACGGUACUCAACAAGGAAGUGACGGCUAACUACGUGCCAGCAGCCGCGGUAAAACGUAGGUCACAAGCGUUGUCCGGAAUUACUGGGUGUAAAGGGAGCGCAGGCGGGAAGACAAGUUGGAAGUGAAAUCCAUGGGCUCAACCCAUGAACUGCUUUCAAAACUGUUUUUCUUGAGUAGUGCAGAGGUAGGCGGAAUUCCCGGUGUAGCGGUGGAAUGCGUAGAUAUCGGGAGGAACACCAGUGGCGAAGGCGGCCUACUGGGCACCAACUGACGCUGAGGCUCGAAAGUGUGGGUAGCAAACAGGAUUAGAUACCCUGGUAGUCCACACUGUAAACGAUGAUUACUAGGUGUUGGAGGAUUGACCCCUUCAGUGCCGCAGUUAACACAAUAAGUAAUCCACCUGGGGAGUACGACCGCAAGGUUGAAACUCAAAGGAAUUGACGGGGGCCCGCACAAGCAGUGGAGUAUGUGGUUUAAUUCGACGCAACGCGAAGAACCUUACCAAGUCUUGACAUCCUGCGACGCACAUAGAAAUAUGUGUUUCCUUCGGGACGCAGAGACAGGUGGUGCAUGGUUGUCGUCAGCUCGUGUCGUGAGAUGUUGGGUUAAGUCCCGCAACGAGCGCAACCCUUAUGGUCAGUUACUACGCAAGAGGACUCUGGCCAGACUGCCGUUGACAAAACGGAGGAAGGUGGGGAUGACGUCAAAUCAUCAUGCCCUUUAUGACUUGGGCUACACACGUACUACAAUGGCGUUAAACAAAGAGAAGCAAGACCGCGAGGUGGAGCAAAACUCAGAAACAACGUCCCAGUUCGGACUGCAGGCUGCAACUCGCCUGCACGAAGUCGAAAUUGCUAGUAAUCGCAGAUCAGCAUGCUGCGGUGAAUACGUUCCCGGGCCUUGCACUCACCGCCCGUCA
rnacentral:rRNA from 1 species